GGUUAAGCGACUAAGCGUACACGGUGGAUGCCCUGGCAGUCAGAGGCGAUGAAGGACGUGCUAAUCUGCGAAAAGCGUCGGUAAGGUGAUAUGAACCGUUAUAACCGGCGAUGUCCGAAUGGGGAAACCCAGUGCAAUUCGUUGCACUAUCGUUAACUGAAUACAUAGGUUAACGAGGCGAACCGGGGGAACUGAAACAUCUAAGUACCCCGAGGAAAAGAAAUCAACCGAGAUUCCCCCAGUAGCGGCGAGCGAACGGGGAGCAGCCCAGAGUCUGAAUCAGCUUGUGUGUUAGUGGAACGGUCUGGAAAGUCCGACGGUACAGGGUGAUAGUCCCGUACACCAAAAUGCACAGGUUGUGAACUCGAAGAGUAGGGCGGGACACGUGGUAUCCUGUCUGAAUAUGGGGGGACCAUCCUCCAAGGCUAAAUACUCCUGACUGACCGAUAGUGAACCAGUACCGUGAGGGAAAGGCGAAAAGAACCCCGGCGAGGGGAGUGAAAAAGAACCUGAAACCGUGUACGUACAAGCAGUGGGAGCACCUUCGGGUGUGACUGCGUACCUUUUGUAUAAUGGGUCAGCGACUUAUAUUCUGUAGCAAGGUUAACCGUAUAGGGGAGCCGCAGGGAAACCGAGUCUUAACUGGGCGUUAAGUUGCAGGGUAUAGACCCGAAACCCGGUGAUCUAGCCAUGGGCAGGUUGAAGGUUGGGUAACACUAACUGGAGGACCGAACCGACUAAUGUUGAAAAAUUAGCGGAUGACUUGUGGCUGGGGGUGAAAGGCCAAUCAAACCGGGAGAUAGCUGGUUCUCCCCGAAAGCUAUUUAGGUAGCGCCUCGUGAAUUCAUCUUCGGGGGUAGAGCACUGUUUCGGCUAGGGGGUCAUCCCGACUUACCAACCCGAUGCAAACUACGAAUACCGAAGAAUGUUAUCACGGGAGACACACGGCGGGUGCUAACGUCCGUCGUGAAGAGGGAAACAACCCAGACCGCCAGCUAAGGUCCCAAAGUCAUGGUUAAGUGGGAAACGAUGUGGGAAGGCACAGACAGCCAGGAUGUUGGCUUAGAAGCAGCCAUCAUUUAAAGAAAGCGUAAUAGCUCACUGGUCGAGUCGGCCUGCGCGGAAGAUGUAACGGGGCUAAACCAUGCACCGAAGCUGCGGCAGCGACACUAUGUGUUGUUGGGUAGGGGAGCGUUCUGUAAGCCUGCGAAGGUGACCUGUGAGGGUUGCUGGAGGUAUCAGAAGUGCGAAUGCUGACAUAAGUAACGAUAAAGCGGGUGAAAAGCCCGCUCGCCGGAAGACCAAGGGUUCCUGUCCAACGUUAAUCGGGGCAGGGUGAGUCGACCCCUAAGGCGAGGCCGAAAGGCGUAGUCGAUGGGAAACAGGUUAAUAUUCCUGUACUUGGUGUUACUGCGAAGGGGGGACGGAGAAGGCUAUGUUAGCCGGGCGACGGUUGUCCCGGUUUAAGCAUGUAGGCUGGUUGUCCAGGCAAAUCCGGAUAAUCAAGGCUGAGGUGUGAUGACGAGGCACUACGGUGCUGAAGUAACAAAUGCCCUGCUUCCAGGAAAAGCCUCUAAGCAUCAGGUAACAUCAAAUCGUACCCCAAACCGACACAGGUGGUCAGGUAGAGAAUACCAAGGCGCUUGAGAGAACUCGGGUGAAGGAACUAGGCAAAAUGGUGCCGUAACUUCGGGAGAAGGCACGCUGGUGUGUAGGUGAAGUCCCUGCGGAUGGAGCUGAGACCAGUCGAAGAUACCAGCUGGCUGCAACUGUUUAUUAAAAACACAGCACUGUGCAAACACGAAAGUGGACGUAUACGGUGUGACGCCUGCCCGGUGCCGGAAGGUUAAUUGAUGGGGUUAUCCGUAAGGAGAAGCUCUUGAUCGAAGCCCCGGUAAACGGCGGCCGUAACUAUAACGGUCCUAAGGUAGCGAAAUUCCUUGUCGGGUAAGUUCCGACCUGCACGAAUGGCGUAAUGAUGGCCAGGCUGUCUCCACCCGAGACUCAGUGAAAUUGAACUCGCUGUGAAGAUGCAGUGUACCCGCGGCAAGACGGAAAGACCCCGUGAACCUUUACUAUAGCUUGACACUGAACAUUGAGCCUUGAUGUGUAGGAUAGGUGGGAGGCUUUGAAGCGUGGACGCCAGUCUGCGUGGAGCCAACCUUGAAAUACCACCCUUUAAUGUUUGAUGUUCUAACGUUGGCCCCUUACCGGGGUUGCGGACAGUGUCUGGUGGGUAGUUUGACUGGGGCGGUCUCCUCCCAAAGCGUAACGGAGGAGCACGAAGGUUAGCUAAUCCUGGUCGGACAUCAGGAGGUUAGUGCAAUGGCAUAAGCUAGCUUGACUGCGAGCGUGACGGCGCGAGCAGGUGCGAAAGCAGGUCAUAGUGAUCCGGUGGUUCUGAAUGGAAGGGCCAUCGCUCAACGGAUAAAAGGUACUCCGGGGAUAACAGGCUGAUACCGCCCAAGAGUUCAUAUCGACGGCGGUGUUUGGCACCUCGAUGUCGGCUCAUCACAUCCUGGGGCUGAAGUAGGUCCCAAGGGUAUGGCUGUUCGCCAUUUAAAGUGGUACGCGAGCUGGGUUUAGAACGUCGUGAGACAGUUCGGUCCCUAUCUGCCGUGGGCGCUGGAGAAUUGAGGGGGGCUGCUCCUAGUACGAGAGGACCGGAGUGGACGCAUCACUGGUGUUCGGGUUGUCAUGCCAAUGGCACUGCCCGGUAGCUAAAUGCGGAAGAGAUAAGUGCUGAAAGCAUCUAAGCACGAAACUUGCCCCGAGAUGAGUUCUCCCUGAGACUUUAAGUCUCCUGAAGGAACGUUAAAGACGAUGACGUUGAUAGGCCGGGUGUGUAAGCGCAGCGAUGCGUUGAGCUAACCGGUACUAAUGAACCGUGAGGCUUAACCUU
rnacentral:rRNA from 2 species